rnacentral:rRNA from 1 species
AUUGAACGCUGGCGGCAGGCCUAACACAUGCAAGUCGAGCGGAGCGGCAGACGGGUGAGUAAUGGCAAUGUAUCUGCAUGGUAGUGGGGGAUAACGUCAGGAAACGGGCGCUAAUACUGCUAACUAGCAGAUGAGCCUGGGUCGGAGUAGCUAGUGGGUGGGGUAAAGGUCUACCAAGGCGACGAUCCGUACCUGGUCUGAGAGGAUGAUCAGUCACACUGGAACUGAGACACGGUCCAGACUCCUACGGGAGGCAGCAGUGGGGAAUAUUGGACAAUGGGCGAAAGCCUGAUCCAGCCAUGCCGCGUGUGUGAAGAAGGUCUUCGGGUUGUAAAGCACUUUAAGUUGGGAAGCGUUACCAACAGAAUAAGCACCGGCUAACUUCGUGCCAGCAGCCGCGGUAAUAC